rnacentral:rRNA from 1 species
UACGAAGGGGGCUAGCGUUGUUCGGAUUUACUGGGCGUAAAGCGCACGUAGGCGGAUCGUUAAGUCGGGGGUGAAAUCCUGGAGCUCAACUCCAGAACUGCCUUCGAUACUGGCGAUCUUGAGUCCGGAAGAGGUGAGUGGAACUCCUAGUGUAGAGGUGGAAUCCGUAGAUAUUAGGAAGAACACCAGUGGCGAAGGCGGCUCACUGGUCCGGUACUGACGCUGAGGUGCGAAAGCGUGGGGAGCAAACAGGG